rnacentral:rRNA from 1 species
CAAGUCGAGCGAGGCCAGGGGGCAACUCCUGAGUCGAGCGGCGAACGGGUGAGUAACGCGUGGAUAACCUGCCCUGAGGUGGGGAACAACCAGGGGAAACUCUGGCUAAUACCGCAUGAUACCGAGAGGUCAAAGGGGGCUCGCAAGGGCUCUCGCCACAGGAGGGGUCCGCGUCCGAUUAGCUAGUUGGUGGGGUAAUGGCCUACCAAGGCGACGAUCGGUAGCCGGCCUGAGAGGGUGAUCGGCCACACUGGAACUGAGACACGGUCCAGACUCCUACGGGAGGCAGCAGUGGGGAAUUUUGCGCAAUGGGCUAACGCCUGACGCAGCAACGCCGCGUGGAGGAUGAAGGUCUUUGGAUUGUAAACUCCUGUCAGCGGGGAAAAAGCGACUCGACCUCAUACGUCGGGGAGUUGAUUGUACCCGCAGAGGAAGCCCCGGCUAACUCUGUGCCAGCAGCCGCGGUAAUACAGAGGGGGCAAGCGUUAUUCGGAAUUAUUGGGCGUAAAGGGCGCGUAGGCGGCUCGGCAAGUGGAAGGUGAAAUCCCUCGGCUUAACCGAGGAACUGCCCUCCAAGCUGCUUUGCUUGAGGCCGGGAGAGGUGAGUGGAAUUCCCAGUGUANCGGUGAAAUGCGUAGAUAUUGGGAGGAACACCAGUGGCGAAGGCGGCUCACUGGACCGGUUCUGACGCUGAUGCGCGAAAGCGUGGGGAGCAAACGGGAUUAGAUACCCCGGUAGUCCACGCCGUAAACGAUGAGUGCUUGGUGUAGCGGGUAUCGACCCCUGCUGUGCCGAAGCUAAC